AUCUAAAUUGCUUACUUCAUUAGUGGUUGGAUACACGAAGAAAUAAAUGAUUGAAGGAAGGAAGGAAGAAAUGAUUGAAUGAGCUUCUCUAACUUUUAUCACCAUAUUUUAUAUCACCUUAUUCAUCUUCCAGUCCUGUCUAUCCUUCUUCUGCAAAUAUCAGGUAUAAUGCUCUCGAUUCUUUUUCUGUCAUUUUGCAAGCUCAGUCCUAAUGAUUGCCUUACAUUUGUGAAAGCCAUUUGAUAUCCACCACAUAGUAUUUCACUUUCUUAACUUCUAACUUUUUGUCCUCUCAAUCUAUUCGUUCUUCGAGUAAAAUCAUUUCCCUCCAAUUCUAUUUUGAUCACUCAUAUCCAUAUAGUGGAAAAUAACAGUGGAUUUCCAUUGCCCAGUCUGUCUGGUACAGACACUUGAGCUUCUUAACCACCAGGCUUACUUUAUUGAGUCAUCAUAUCACCUGCUAUAGCACCCAAUAAAGCAAAUCUCUUGUCUCUCUCUUUUACUCAUUAUUCUCGCUUCUUUGUCUUUCUUUGUUACUUACCCUGUCAGUUCAUACUCCUCUCUUCUUCGGUUGCUACCUUCUCUUCAAACUUCAUCUCCUCAGGAAAAAAUUCUAACCUCUACUUUGGGGACACGCCAAGAACUUGCUUACAUAGCCUCUAAAAUGUCAUUUAUGUAUGUACAUAUACCUAUGUACAUACAUAUGUAAUACAUAUAUGUCCUUGUAUAAAUAAGCUAGUUUUCAAAGUCCAUCCUGUUUUCCCUUUAGAUUGUUAUAUAAAGACAAGAGUUAUAAUCUUACAUUUCUUUUAUAUCUUCCUUAGCUCCCUUUAUGAAGUUAAUCAUCAAUAUAUGUUGCUAAAAAGUGGUUUCCUGGCUUGAAUGCACAACUCUUCCCAGGGCUUUUCUGGCCUUCAAACAAUAAUUGCCCAAGGAAUCUUUUCAAGGGGAGAGUCGAAGGGAAGAGCUCACUCCUUCUUGAUGCUGACUAUCAGACAUUUUGAGAGCAAGUUUUCAAAUGGAAGUAGAGAAAGCAUGAAGACAGGAGAGGGUUAAAGGACACAGGAAGAUGAGAUCAUGAGAGUCAGAACAUAAAAUCCAGCUACAUCGAAAUUUGGUUGAGUACAAUUCCUGCUGAAGAAAGAAUGAAUAUGAUCUGUUAAUAAAACUUGUGAGUUGUAUUGUGGGGAAAUAAGC
rnacentral:lncRNA from 1 species